rnacentral:rRNA from 1 species
UACGUAGGCAGCGAGCGUUGUUCGGAGUUACUGGGCGUAAAGAGUGCGUAGGCGGUUUUCUAAGUUUGGUGUGAAAUCUCCCGGCUUAACUGGGAGGGUGCGCCGAAAACUGGAAGGCUUGAGUAUGGGAGAGGUAAGCGGAAUUCCUGGUGUAGCGGUGAAAUGCGUAGAUAUCAGGAGGAACACCUGCGGUGUAGACGGCUUACUGGACCAUCACUGACGCUGAGGCACGAAAGCGUGGGUAGCAAACAGG